rnacentral:lncRNA from 1 species
ACAAAGUAGCUCCGUGACAAAACCAAGACAUAUGUAUAGAAGACUUGACGAGGACGUCAAGGGUUUAAGUGGGGGAGGGUGUCACGGACCAAGCUUCUGGAAAAUACCACGGACGUCUAGAGAACUCUGGAAUGAUCAAGUAUACUCGAGAAAUCUCCGGAGAGAUCAAGAAUGCUCUACGAGACCCUGGAAGGUGCCAGAAUAUUAUAGAUGCCCGUGGAAUAAAGGAGAACGAUCCGGAAUAAAUAAAGAAGGCACUAGACGAAACUAGAACGACACGGAAGACUUUGGAAGGAUCUAGAACACGCUAGAUCAUACAAGAACGAUUUGGAUAAUGUCGGGAAGACUUAGAGAUUUCUAGAGCAUCAUAUACAAGUUUACAAUAUUCUAGAGUCUUGUAAAAUCCAUGUAUAUAAUAGGAAGAGUCUAGAUUAGUCAUCAAUGAUCGGGACCUAGAAACUUCCAUUUGAGGAGGUGUAAGGUUCCUAUAAAUAGGGGGAGGACUCAUUUGUCGAAUCCAUCAAGAAGUUGCCUUGUAAAGAAGUUUCGAGUUAUAUAAUAGAAGCUUUCUUGAAGUGUCCCUUGUCGUAACUCUUGCUUCCUAAGUUCGUUAGUACAUCUAGAUCGUCGGAGUUAGCCUGACUUAGUCGGAGAAGUACUAAGUGGCACACGGUAUUGAGUAGUCUAAAAGAGUCAUCCCGUGACACGUGGUAUCAGAGCCAGGUUCGUACAAGCAAGAGAUCAUGACUACGGAAGCAGGAAGUAGUGAAGUCGCAAACGUGCCCCCUGUCGUCGAGGAGAAAGGAAGAAAGUCCAGGAAGAGGGACCAAUCGAUAGAUGCCUUGGCAAGCUUAGAGAACAAGCUUACAAGGACGGAGAUUAACGUCGGUGAGAUCCUUGAAUGGAAGGAUACCGUCGAUCAGUUCGUUGCCGAGAUAAGUGACACGAGCGAUGGAUUGAAGGAGACCAUCGGUUUCAUCAAGGAAGAAGUCCUUGGACUUAUUAACACUCUGCGGAGCGAGUUCCGUGAGAAGGUAGACGCAUUACAAGCCGAAGUAAACCUGUGCAAGGCAGCAAUCACUGGAGGGACCAUUGCAAGAACAUUUCCGCACACAGAAGCACCCAGACCAUUGAAGUAUGGAGGUAAACGUGACCCCAAAGAACUCGACGAAUUCUUUUGAUCGAUGGAAUGCUACUUCAAUGCUAGUCAAGUGAAGGACGACAAGACGAAGGUAGAUACAACCGUACUUUAUCUAUGCGAGAGUGCAACUCUAUGGUGGCGAAGGAAGCAUGGUGAUAUUGAAAAAGGAUUAUAUACCAUAGACACAUGGGAAGAAUUCAAGAGGCAACUCAAGAGACAAUUCUGCCCACACAAUGCUGAAGACAUAGCGAUGAAGAAACUUCGUGGGCUAAAGCAUACGGGAUCCAUCCGAGACUAUAUAGUCGAGUUCACGAGCUUGAUGCUAGAGUUACCCGACAUGCAGGAGAAGGACAAACUUUUUUAUUUCAUGGAUGGACUACAAUCUUGGUCCUACAACGAGCUCAAGAGGAGAAAUUUCAAAGACAUUGACGAAGUUAUUGCCAUGGCAGAAGAUCUAAUGGAAUUUUGAAAAGACAGCACGGUUAAGAAGAAUAGUGGGGGAGAACAAACUAUGAUGGAACUGGAACCAAAACAAAACACAUCCCAACCUUUAAAUACGAAAGGAAAAGAAAUCGAAGGAAGAAACCGAAGAGAAGAGAGAAAGGAGAUCAAGUGCUACUUGUGUGAUGGUCCUCACUUGAUCCGAGACUGUCCGAAGAAAAAGACCUUCUAUGCGAUGGUUUUGCAAGAAGAAGAAGACGAAGCACAAAUAAGCUCAAUGCGCUUUCUGAACUCAGUAUCGAAAGAUGAGAUAAAAUCUUCUAAGAAGGUAGAAAAUAAAGGAGCAUGUUCGUCGAAGUUAAAGUGAAUGCCAGGAACACUAAGGCGCUAAUAGAUUCCGGAGCAACGCAUAGUUUCAUCGUAGAGGAAGAAGCUAAGAAGUUGGGUAUUCACUAUACAAAGGAGUUAGUUCAGUUGAAAGUUGUCAACUCUCCAUCCAAUCCGAUCCUCGGAGUUUCUCGUGGAAUACCCAUGAAGAUUGCAGAAUGGAAAGGGACCAUCGACUUGAUAGUGGUUCCGAUGGACGACUAUCGCAUGGUAUUAGGAAUGGACUUCCUAGAUAUGGUAUGUCCUUGGUCGUUUGAAAGAGACAACACCAUGCGUAUAACCAAGGGAUCAACUAUCCAUAUAAUUCCCUUGGAAAGAAGCAAGAAAAAAGCUCGAACCCUUUCAACUAUGAAGUUUCAAAAAGGCCCCGAGAGAAAAGGAAGUAUGCACAUGUGUUAUUGCCAGUGUAAUAUGAUCAAGAAGAAUAUGAAGCCAAAAAGGGAAAAUCAAGUAAAUAAGGCAUACAUGAAGGAGCACGGAUCCAUAACCCCUUGAAAAUUUACUCAAGAAGUUAUGAGGCUGAGAGAAGAAGUAUGAUUCAAGGUACGUUGAGAAAUAAAAGCACACCCUACUCGAAGAAAUACUUUGGAGAAAAAGAAAAGACACAAAGUAGCUCCGUGACAAAACCAAGACAUAUGUAUAGAAGACUUGACGAGGACGUCAAGGGUUUAAGUGGGGGAGGGUGUCACGGACCAAGCUUCUGGAAAAUACCACGGACGUCUAGAGAACUCUGGAAUGAUCAAGUAUACUCGAGAAAUCUCCGGAGAGAUCAAGAAUGCUCUACGAGACCCUGGAAGGUGCCAGAAUAUUAUAGAUGCCCGUGGAAUAAAGGAGAACGAUCCGGAAUAAAUAAAGAAGGCACUAGACGAAACUAGAACGACACGGAAGACUUUGGAAGGAUCUAGAACACGCUAGAUCAUACAAGAACG